GCUUGCGUAUUUCUCAGUCCACUCUUUGGCAUUUAUCAAGAACAGUUGCUUGUUGUACUUGUACUCUGAGGAUAUGUCUGCCAUGAGGGGGUCAUCGGGGUUGGGCUCCACCAUCAGCAGCUGUAUGGAGGUCAGCAGUGUGGAGAUGUUCAAGGAGGGCCUCCACGCGCCCUUUGGUGGUAACUUAAGAACAUCCAGACAAAUCCUUCCAGCAGAGUCGAUGUUAGGAUGAUAAAUAGGGGUCAGAAAUCGAAUCUUCGGGGGCUCAAAUGGGUACCUUUCAGGAACCACUAUCUCCAGGUCGAAUAUCCCUUUCUCAUAGGGUGUAUCUGCAGCUCCGAUAAUUUGUGCCCGCAGCUCAUCCAGCCGCGCUCCGCUCUGCCAGCAGCUGAUGCCGGGCGGCGGCUCCGUGCUCAGCAUUGUGAGCUCCCUGCUGAGCCGCGAUGCUCUCUGCAUGCCGUGGAUAUGAGGCUCUUCUUCAGCUGCCCCCGCAGAGGGUUCCUUGGCU
rnacentral:lncRNA from 1 species